CCCAGACUCCUACGGGAGGCAGCAGUGGGGAAUAUUGGACAAUGGGGGGAACCCUGAUCCAGCGACGCCGCGUGAGUGAAGAAGUAUUUCGGUAUGUAAAGCUCUAUCAGCAGGGAAGAAAGAAAUGACGGUACCUGACUAAGAAGCACCGGCUAAAUACGUGCCAGCAGCCGCGGUAAUACGAAUGGUGCAAGCGUUAUCCGGAUUUACUGGGUGUAAAGGGAGCGCAGGCGGCACGGCAAGCCUGAUGUGAAAGCCCGCGGCCCAACCGCGGGACUGCAUUGGGAACUACCGGGCUGGAGUGCCGGAGAGGUAGGCGGAAUUCCUAGUGUAGCGGUGAAAUGCGUAGAUAUUAGGAGGAACACCAGUGGCGAAGGCGGCUUACUGGACUGUAACUGACGUUGAGGCUCGAAAGCGUGGGGAGCAAACAGGAUUAGAUACCCGCGUA
rnacentral:rRNA from 1 species